rnacentral:rRNA from 1 species
AUUGAACGCUGGCGGCAGGCCUAACACAUGCAAGUCGAACGCGUGGCAGACGGGUGUGUAAUGUCUGGGAAACUGCCUGAUGGAGGGGGAUAACUACUGGACACGGUAGCUAAUACCGCAUACCCUCGGAUGUGCCCAGAUGGGAUUAGCUAGUAGGUGGGGUAACGGCUCACCUAGGCGACGAUCCCUCGAUGGUCUGAGAGGAUGACCAGCCACCCUGGAACUGAGACACGGUCCAGACUCCUACGGUAGGCAGCAGUGGGGAAUAUUGCACAAUGGGCGCAAGCCGGAUGCAGCCAUGCCGCGUGUAUGAAGAAGGCCUUCGGGUUGUAAAGUACUUUCAGCGGGGAGGCGUUACCCGCAGAAGAAGCACCGGCUAAUUCCGUGCCAGCCGCCGCGGUAAUUC